rnacentral:rRNA from 1 species
UACGGGGGGAGCAAGCGUUGUUCGGAUUUACUGGGCGUAAAGGGCGCGUAGGCGGCCACCGCAAGUCGGUUGUGAAAUCUCUGGGCUUAACCCAGAAAGGUCAACCGAUACUGCGGGGCUAGAGUGCAGAAGGGGCAACUGGAAUUCUCGGUGUAGCGGUGAAAUGCGUAGAUAUCGAGAGGAACACCUGCGGCGAAGGCGGGUUGCUGGGCUGACACUGACGCUGAGGAGCGAAAGUGUGGGGAGCGAACAGG